GACGAACGCUGGCGGCGUGCUUAACACAUGCAAGUCGAACGAAGAGCGAUGGAAGCUUGCUUCUAUCAAUCUUAGUGGCGCACGGGUGAGUAACGCGUAAUCAACCUGCCCUUCAGAGGGGGACAACAGUUGGAAACGACUGCUAAUACCGCAUACGAUCUAAUCUCGGCAUCGAGGAUAGAUGAAAGGUGGCCUCUACAUGUAAGCUAUCACUGAAGGAGGGGAUUGCGUCUGAUUAGCUAGUUGGAGGGGUAACGGCCCACCAAGGCGAUGAUCAGUAGCCGGUCUGGGAGGAGGAACGGCCACAUUGGGACUGGGACACGGCCCAGACUCCUACGGGAGGCAGCAGUGGGGAAUCUUCCGGAAAGGACGGAAGUCUGACGGAGCAACGCCGCGUGGGUGAUGACGGCCUUCGGGUUGUAAAGCUCGGUUAAUCGGGACGAAAGGCCUUCUUGCGAAUAGUGAGAAGGAUUGACGGUACCGGAAUAGAAAGCCACGGCUAACUACGUG
rnacentral:rRNA from 1 species